rnacentral:rRNA from 1 species
AUUGAACGCUGGCGGCAUGCCUUACACAUGCAAGUCGAACGGCAGCACGGGGGCAACCCUGGUGGCGAGUGGCGAACGGGUGAGUAAUACAUCGGAACGUGUCCUGUAGUGGGGGAUAGCCCGGCGAAAGCCGGAUUAAUACCGCAUACGCUCUACGGAGGAAAGGGGGGGAUCUUAGGACCUCCCGCUACAGGGGCGGCCGAUGGCAGAUUAGCUAGUUGGUGGGGUAAAGGCCUACCAAGGCGACGAUCUGUAGCUGGUCUGAGAGGACGACCAGCCACACUGGGACUGAGACACGGCCCAGACUCCUACGGGAGGCAGCAGUGGGGAAUUUUGGACAAUGGGCGAAAGCCUGAUCCAGCAAUGCCGCGUGUGUGAAGAAGGCCUUCGGGUUGUAAAGCACUUUUGUCCGGAAAGAAAACGCCGUGGUUAAUACCCGUGGCGGAUGAA